GAUAUCUCGUUCUCCCCGAAAUAGCUUUAGGGCUAGCGUCGCGCGUUCACCGCCGGAGGUAGAGCACCGGAUGGACGAGGGGGCUUCGCCGCCUACCGAAUCCAACCGAACUCCGAAUGCCGGCGGCCCAGAGCGCGGCAGUCAGAGCAUGUGGGCUAAGCUGUGUGCUCGAGAGGGAAACAGCCCGGACCGCCCGCUAAGGUCCCCAAGUUCCAGCCGAGUGGCAAAGGAUGUGCGUCCGCCCAGACAACCAGGAUGUUGGCUUAGAAGCAGCCAUUCAUUCAAAGAGUGCGUAACAGCUCACUGGUCGAGUGGACAUGCGCCGACAAUACACGGGGCUAAGCUGGACACCGAAGCGGCGGGAUUUUAAUUCAUUAGAAUCGGUAGGGGAGCUUCCCAUGGGCGGAGAAGCCGGAGGGCGACCGACGGUGGAGCGCAUGGGAGUGAGAAUGCUGGCAUGAGUAGCGAGAGACGAGAGAGUAACUCGUCCGCCGUGAACCCGAGGUUUCCUGGGCAAGGCUAAUCCUCCCAGGGUCAGUCGGGGGCUAAGGCGAGGCCGGUAGGCGUAGCCGACGCGCAGCAGGCAGACAUUCCUGCACCGCGCACGCGGCGCUACGACCGACGGGGCGACGGAUGGGGGUGGCUCGGCGGGGUUCUGGACGUCCCCGUGAUGGAGCGCGGCCCGCGGACCAGGGAAAUCCGGUCCGCACGAGGGCGAGGCUCCGGACGAAGCGAUUGAGCGAAGCGAGUGAGCCCGAGGUCCCUAGAAAAACCCCUAGGCAGGCGCGUGCGCGCCCGUACCGCAAACCGACACAGGUGGGUGGGUAGAACAUACCGAGGCGAUCGGGUCAACCAUGGUCAAGGAACUCGGCACAAUGGCCCCGUAACUUCGGGAGAAGGGGUGCCCGCGCGUACGUGAACCGGCUUGCCCGGGGAGCGGAGGCGGGCCGCAGUGGAGAGGCCCAAGCGACUGUUUACCAAAAACACAGGACUCUGCAGAAGCCGCAAGGCGACGUAUAGGGUCUGACGCCUGCCCGGUGCCGGAAGGUCACGCGGAGGGGUUAGCCGUUAAGGCGAAGCCCCGAAGCCAAGCCCCGGUAAACGGCGGCCGUAACUAUAACGGUCCUAAGGUAGCGAAAUUCCUUGUCGGGUAAGUUCCGACCUGCACGAAAGGCGCAACGACUUGGGCGCUGUCUCGACCAUGGACCCGGUGAAAUUGCACUGGUCGUGAAGAUGCGACUUACCCGCGGAAGGACGGAAAGACCCCGUGAACCUUCACUGCAGCUUGGCAUUGGCCGCUGGUCCCGCGUGUAGAGGAUAGGCAGGAGGCGAAGAUCCGGAGGCGCCAGCCCCCGGGGAGCCGCCCUUGGAAUACUGCCCUCGCGCGACCGGCGUCCUAACCCGAGGCCGUCAACCGGCUCGGGGACCGUGCCAGGCGGGCAGUUUGACUGGGGCGGUCGCCUCCUAAAGGGUAACGGAGGCGCGCGAAGGUCCGCUCGGGACGGUCGGCAACCGUCCUUUUGAAUGCAAGAGUACAAGCGGGCUUGACUGCGAGGCCCACAAGCCGAGCAGGUGCGAAAGCAGGCUCUAGUGAUCCGGCGGCCCCGAGUGGGUGGGCCGUCGCUCAACGGAUAAAAGGUACUCCGGGGAUAACAGGCUGAUCUUGCCCAAGAGUCCACAUCGACGGCAAGGUUUGGCACCUCGAUGUCGGCUCAUCGCAUCCUGGGGCUGGAGCAGGUCCCAAGGGUACGGCUGUUCGCCGUUUAAAGCGGUACGCGAGCUGGGUUCAGAACGUCGUGAGACAGUUCGGUCCCUAUCCUCCGUGGGCGCAGGAGAAUCGAUGGAGGCUGCCCCCAGUACGAGAGGACCGGGGUGGACGCACCUCCGGUGAACCGGUUGUCGACCAACGGCACGGCCGGGUAGCCGCGUGCGGCGCGGAUAACCGCUGAAGGCAUCUAAGCGGGAAGCCGUUCCAGGGAUUAGUUCU
rnacentral:rRNA from 1 species